UCUACAGUCUGACGAGUGAAGAAAAUAAUGAUAGACGAGAUGCCUGGUGGCAAAAUGCUUUUGUUCCUGUUUCCAUCAGUGCAUAAGGGCGCCGACCUGCUUUAGCAUUCUUUAAAGGUCUCUUUACCAAGGAAAAUUGAAGACGGUCUCAUUAUAGGAGAGUGUGUUCGGAAUACUAUGAGGUAUUUAUGAAUUCAGAGGUGAUUGUUGGAUCUCAGACAUUUCAAUUACGCAUCCUGUAGUAAAAAAAAAAAAAAAAAAUAAUAAUUUAUUUGUAGCGAUGUGUUCUGUAAUCUGUUAUUUCCAUAAAGCUGAUCUGUGCUCGAGCUCCGGAGCUGGCCGAGGGAAUGGGUCCAUCCACGGGGCUCGAUUUGUGUUCUUUGCCUCGCAAAACUUUCUGCUGCAGGGGCAGCCCGAAGUUCCCGUAGAAGCGAUUGUUUGGGAAACGUCAGCUAUCCUCAGUAUUUUUCUGGAAAAUAUGGCGUGGUGAAUGAAGGGUGGUAUUUUUAGAAAGGAGCUUUUUAUUUUUGGAGGCAUUUGUGAAGCCCACCUGUUAACCAUUAGCGGGGACAGAGGUUGGCUUUCAUCGUUCGCAAACCCGGGCGCAUCUGGGGGCUGCGGCCGUUACUCGCUUGAUCCAAGCUCUUUCCAGUCAUGGACAAAUCAAAGUGUCUUUCCCUUUAAAAGUCAUAACCAAGUAUUUCUAAAGCUGAACAGAAAGUAAGGUAGUUUAGUCAGAGUGGUGGCACUCUCCUGUGUUUUGGAGCGUGGUUGCAGGAGCAUUUGACUUUUCCUUUUCCCCUUGGAAUUUCAGACUGAGAUGCUUCCAUGGUCCAGAGUUUUAUUGUCAACUUUAUAGCAUACAAAUCAUAGAUGAUGUUUUCUUGCCAUCAGCCUUCCCUCUUUUUAAGGUAGUUUUCUCCUCGCCAGCCCAUGUGGGAUCCCGGGGCUGGGCUGGCAGGGCAGCUCCAGACGCCCCGCAGAGCUUCUGCCCCACAGCCCACUUUGCUGACAGCUCCCUCUCAUCCCCCUUGCUUUUCCAAGGGCAAAGUUGUGCCCUUUUCCACUCCAGCUUUUCCUAGAUUCAAAGGAAUGUCCUCAUAGCAAGAACUAUAGCAGAGCCUGUCAUCUUUAACGCCAGCAUUUCAGUGCAGAGAUUUGUUACUGGGGUCUGGUGGUAAUAUUCCUUGUAUCAGGAAAAACAUCACCCUCAAAGUAUGAGGUCCCAGGCACGAGCUGGAAGUGGUGUACCGAAGCCUUUGGCCGGGAAAGUUGAUUUAUCCAUCAGGCUGGCUGCAGUUCAAAUAAAACUUCUUCAGUUCAGCUGACUCUGGCAAGAAUGAAAUACCCUAAUGAAAAAACACCCUGAAUCUGGGUUUUCCCAACCAUUUGGAAAAGGUAGGUUAAUUUUCCCUGGGUUUUUUUGGGGCUGUUUACUAGCUAUGGGAAUUGAAAGUGGCUUCGUGUUUAAGUGGAAGAAAUGGAAAAGCUUCUCGGAACACAGCACUGGCAAUUUGCAAGUGUUUUGUUAAGAUCUGGUGGAUGAUGCUGUCUCAUAAAACCUGAUGGGUGUCACAUUUACUCCUCACAUCAGAUCUAGUGUGAGUAUUCCUGCCUUUGCUCUAUAUUCUCGGUGUAGUAAGUUAGAGAAGUAGAGUGUGGAGCUGCUGGUGAGCAGCUCUUAAAUCUGGGCUGAUUGCUUACACCUGCCCCAGAGGUUGGGGGUUUUGAGCCCCCCCCAUCCCAGCUGUUAAGGAUAUUCCAAUUAUAGGCUCUGACAGGAGAAAUGGCAUCAGGGCUCACAGGUGAAUUAGAAGACUGUGUGUGGGUGGUGCAAGGUGAUUGUUGGUUCCCUCUUACAGGGAGCACUCAAACUUUGAAGGGAAAGUUUUAGCAAGUCCUCGCUGGUUUCUCUCUGGUUGCUGGGAUAAAACAAUUGUUUUAGCCAGGAAUUGAUUGGUGUUUUCUCUACUGC